rnacentral:rRNA from 2 species
AGAGUUUGAUCAUGGCUCAGAACGUACGCUGGCGGCACGCCUAACACAUGCAAGUCGAACGAAGUAGCAAUACUUAGUGGCAGACGGGUGAGUAACAUGUAGGUAUCUGCCCUUUGGCCUGGAAUAACAUGAGGAAACUUAUGCUAAUACCGGAUAAGUCUUUACGGAGAAAGCUUUAUGCACCAUUGGAUGAGCCUGCACUUGAUUAGUUUGUUGGUGGGGUAAUGGCCUACCAAGACUGUGAUCAAUAGCUGAUUUGAGAGGAUGAUCAGCCACAUUGGGACUGAGACACGGCCCAAACUCCUACGGGAGGCAGCAGUGGGGAAUCUUGCACAAUGGAGGAAACUCUGAUGCAGCGAUGCCGCGUGAGUGAAGAAGGCCCUUGGGUUGUAAAGCUCUUUCGUCGGGGAAGAAAAUGACUGUACCCGAAUAAGAAGGUCCGGCUAACUUCGUGCCAGCAGCCGCGGUAAUACGAAGGGACCUAGCGUAGUUCGGAAUUACUGGGCUUAAAGAGUUCGUAGGUGGUUGAAAAAGUUGGUGGUGAAAUCCCAGAGCUUAACUCUGGAACUGCCAUCAAAACUUUUCAGCUAGAGUUUGAUAGAGGAAAGCAGAAUUUCUAGUGUAGAGGUGAAAUUCGUAGAUAUUAGAAAGAAUACCAAUUGCGAAGGCAGCUUUCUGGAUCAUUACUGACGCUGAGGAACGAAAGCAUGGGUAGCGAAGAGGAUUAGAUACCCUCGUAGUCCAUGCCGUAAACGAUGUGUGUUAGACGUUGGAAAUUUAUUUUCAGUGUCGCAGCGAAAGCGAUAAACACACCGCCUGGGGAGUACGACCGCAAGGUUAAAACUCAAAUGAAUUGACGGGGACCCGCACAAGUAGUGGAGCAUGUGGUUUAAUUCGAAGAUACGCGCAGAACCUUACCAACACUUGACAUGUUCGUCGCGACUCUAAGAGAUUAGAGUUUUCGGUUCGGCCGGACGAAACACAGGUGCUGCAUGGCUGUCGUCAGCUCGUGUCGUGAGAUGUUGGGUUAAGUCCCGCAACGAGCGCAACCCUCACUUUUAGUUGCCAUCAUUAAGUUGGGCACUCUGAAAGAACUGCCAGUGAUAAGCUGGAGGAAGGUGGGGAUGACGUCAAGUCCUCAUGGCCCUUACGUGUUGGGCUACACACGUGCUACAAUGGUAUCUACAACAGGAAGCAAGACUGCGAAGUUAAGCAAAUCCUUAAAAGAUACCUCAGUUCGGAUUGCACUCUGCAACUCGAGUGCAUGAAGCUGGAAUUACUAGUAAUCGUGGAUCAGCGUGCCACGGUGAAUGCGUUCCCGGGUCUUGUACACACCGCCCGUCACACCAUGGGAGUUGGUUCUACCUUAAGGCAAGGUUUCAAACCCUUGACCACGGUAUAGUCAGCGACUGGGGUGAAGUCGUAACAAGGUAACC